rnacentral:rRNA from 1 species
GCAUGGAGAGUUCAUUAAAGAGAGCAAUUUUGGUUACAGACGAGCAUGCGCUCCAUUAGCCAGUUGGCGGGGUAACGGCCCACCAAAGCGACGAUGGAUAGGGGUUCUGAGAGGAAGGUCCCCCACAUUGGAACUGAGACACGGUCCAAACUCCUACGGGAGGCAGCAGUGAGGAAUAUCGGUCAAUGGUCGGCAGACUGAACCAGCCAAGUCGCGUGAGGGAAGACGGCCCUACGGGUUGUAAACCUCUUUUGUCGGAGAGUAAAGUACGCUACGUGUAGCGUAUUGCAAGUAUCCGAAGAAAAAGCAUCGGCUAACUCCGUGCCAGCAGCCGCGGUAAUACGGAGGAUGCGAGCGUUAUCCGGAUUUAUUGGGUUUAAAGGGUGCGUAGGCGGCACGCCAAGUCAGCGGUGAAAUUUCCGGGCUCAACCCGGAGUGUGCCGUUGAAACUGGCGAGCUAGAGUACACAAGAGGCAGGCGGAAUGCGUGGUGUAGCGGUGAAAUGCAUAGGUAUCACGCAGAACCCCGAUUGCGAAGGCAGCCUGCUAGGGUGAAACAGACGCUGAGGCACGAAAGCGUGGGUAUCGAACAGGAUUAGAUACCCUGGUAGUCCACGCAGUAAACGAUGAAUACUAACUGUUUGCGAUACAAUGUAAGCG